CCCCUCAGCGCGGGGCCGGGAGGUCGGCGCGGAUGGGGGGGCUUUGCGGCGCUACUUCCAGAGCAGAGGGGCUGCUGGCGGCCCCGGGUGAGGAGAACGGCGCUGCUCAGGUGCCGGGGGAGGGAAACGCCGCCCUCGGGCCUCUGCCGAGCCCCUCUGGGGGGCCUGGGGUCGGUCCCGGGGGUGCCGAGCAAGGUGGGCUGCGGCGGGAGGCUCCGGCUGUGCCCCGUCCUCCGAGUGCCAUUGAACUUACAGCAAAUCUUAAGUACCAUAAGGUACAACUAGUGGAGGAGGGUUUCAAUCCAACAGUCAUUAAAGAUCGCCUGCAUUUCCUGGACGAUAAAGAGAAUCUGUACGUACAAAUGACCCAGGACAUUUAUAACUCAGUAAAAAAAAACGUAACUUCAAAUUGUGAGCAUGUCCAAAAAUACAUGUUUUAUAAUAAUCAAGUUUUGAAGGAUCUGUUAUUCUAACCGUGUUGGGAAAUUCCAUUUAUGAAUAUUAGCCAAUAUUGGUAUUUGAAAUAAAUGUGAAUAUGAGAUUGACUUAAUAAAGCAGAACUUUUCCAA